GAUGAACGCUGGCGGCGUGCCUAAUACAUGCAAGUCGAGCGAACAGACGAGGAGCUUGCUCCUCUGACGUUAGCGGCGGACGGGUGAGUAACACGUGGAUAACCUACCUAUAAGACUGGGAUAACUUCGGGAAACCGGAGCUAAUACCGGAUAAUAUAUUGAACCGCAUGGUUCAAUAGUGAAAGACGGUUUUGCUGUCACUUAUAGAUGGAUCCGCGCCGCAUUAGCUAGUUGGUAAGGUAACGGCUUACCAAGGCAACGAUGCGUAGCCGACCUGAGAGGGUGAUCGGCCACACUGGAAGUGAGACACGGUACAGACACCUACGGAAGGCAGCAGUAGGGAAUCUUCCGCAAUGGGCGAAAGCCUGACGGAGCAACGCAGCGUGAGUGAUGAAGGUCUUCGGAUCGUAAAACUCUGUUAUGAGGGAAGAACAAAUGUGUAAGUAACGAUGCACGUCUUGACGGUACCGAAUCAGAAAGCCACGGCUAACUACGU
rnacentral:rRNA from 1 species